GCGGUAGCGGGAAGAGCUUGCUCUUUGCCGACGAGCGGCGGACGGGUGCGUAACACGUAGGAAUCUGCCUGGUAGUGGGGGAUAGCCCGGAGAAAUCCGGAUUAAUACCGCAUACGCCCUACGGGGGAAAGGAGGGGAUCUUCGGACCUUUCGCUAUCAGAUGAGCCUGCGUCGGAUUAGCUGGUUGGUGGGGUAAAGGCCUACCAAGGCGACGAUCCGUAGCUGGUCUGAGAGGAUGAUCAGCCACACUGGGACUGAGACACGGCCCAGACUCCUACGGGAGGCAGCGGUGGGGAAUAUUGCACAAUGGGCGAAAGCCUGAUGCAGCCAUGCCGCGUGUGUGAAGAAGGCCCUAGGGUUGUAAAGCACUUUCAGUGGGGAGGAAAGGUUGAAGGUUAAUACCCUUCAGCUGUGACGUUACCCACAGAAGAAGCACCGGCUAACUCCGUGCCAGCAGCCGCGGUAAUACGGAGGGUGCGAGCGUUAAUCGGAAUUACUGGGCGUAAAGCGUGCGUAGGCGGCUACCUAAGUUGGAUGUGAAAGCCCCGGGCUCAACCUGGGAACUGCAUCCAAAACUGGGUGGCUAGAGUACGGGAGAGGAGUGUGGAAUUUCCUGUGUAGCGGUGAAAUGCGUAGAUAUAGGAAGGAACACCAGUGGCGAAGGCGACACUCUGGCCUGAUACUGACGCUGAGGUACGAAAGCGUGGGGAGCAAACAGGAUUAGAUACCCUGGUAGUCCACGCCGUAAACGAUGUCUACUAGUUGUCGGUUGUCUUGUACGACUGGUAACGCAGCUAACGCGAUAAGUAGACCGCCUGGGGAGUACGGC
rnacentral:rRNA from 1 species